ACCUAGCUAGCUCAAUUGGCAGAGCGUGAGACUCUUAUUCUCAAAGUUGCGGGUUUGACCCCCGCCUUAGGCU